rnacentral:rRNA from 1 species
CGAACGACGCUGGCGGCAGGCUUAACACAUGCAAGUCGAACGGGUGCAGCAAUGCAUCAGUGGCAGACGGGUGAGUAACACGUGGGAACCUUCCUAGGGGUACGGAACAACUCAGGGAAACUUGAGCUAAUACCGUAUACGUCCGUGAGGAGAAAGAUUUAUCGCCCUUAGACGGGCCCGCGUCGGAUUAGCUAGUUGGUGGGGUAACGGCCUACCAAGGCGACGAUCCGUAGCUGAUCUUAGAGGAUGAUCAGCCACACUGGGACUGAGACACGGCCCAGACUCCUACGGGAGGCAGCAGUGGGGAAUCUUGGACAAUGGGCGCAAGCCUGAUCCAGCCAUGCCGCGUGAGUGAAGAAGGUCUUCGGAUUGUAAAGCUCUUUUGCCAGGGACGAUAAUGACGGUACCUGGAGAAUAAGCCCCGGCAAACUUCGUG